UUAUUGCUGAAAGAUGGCUUCGCGUCUGAUUAGCUAGAUGGCGGGGUAACGGCCCACCAUGGCGACGAUCAGUAGCCGGUCUGAGAGGAUGAACGGCCACAUUGGGACUGAGAUACGGCCCAGACUCCUACGGGAGGCAGCAGUGGGGAAUAUUGGGCAAUGGGCGAAAGCCUGACCCAGCAACGCCGCGUGAAGGAAGAAGGCCUUCGGGUUGUAAACUUCUUUUACCAGGGACGAACAAAUGACGGUACCUGGAGAAAAAGCAACGGCUAACUACGUGCCAGCAGCCGCGGUAAUACGUAGGUUGCAAGCGUUGUCCGGAUUUACUGGGUGUAAAGGGCGUGUAGGCGGAGAUGCAAGUUGGGAGUGAAAUCCCGGGGCUCAACCCCGGAACUGCUUUCAAAACUGUAUCCCUUGAGUGUCGGAGAGGCAAGCGGAAUUCCUAGUGUAGCGGUGAAAUGCGUAGAUAUUAGGAGGAACACCAGUGGCGAAGGCGGCUUGCUGGACGAUAACUGACGCUGAGGCGCGAAAGCGUGGGGAGCAAACAGGAUUAGAUACCCUGGUAGUCCACGCUGUAAACGAUGAAUACUAGGUGUGGGAGGACUGACCCCUUCCGUGCCGCAGUUAACACAAUAAGUAUUCCACCUGGGGAGUACGACCGCAAGGUUGAAACUCAAAGGAAUUGACGGGGGCCCGCACAAGCGGUGGAUUAUGUGGUUUAAUUCGACGCAACGCGAAGAACCUUACCAGGACUUGACAUCCAACUAACGAAGUAGAGAUACAUUAGGUGCCCUUCGGGGGAAGUUGAGACAGGUGGUGCAUGGUUGUCGUCAGCUCGUGUCGUGAGAUGUUGGGUUAAGUCCCGCAACGAGCGCAACCCCUAUUGUUAGUUGCUACGCAAGAGCACUCUAGCGAGACUGCCGUUGACAAAACGGAGGAAGGCGGGGACGACGUCAAAUCAUCAUGCCCCUUAUGUCCUGGGCUACACACGUAAUACAAUGGUGGUAAACAGAGGGAAGCAAAGCCGCGAGGUGGAGCAAAUCCCUAAAAGCCAUCUCAGUUCGGAUUGCAGGCUGCUA
rnacentral:rRNA from 1 species